ACUCUAGGAAACACAUUAGCUCUUCGGGUUCUUAGUCAACCCGGUUCAACUGUGAGAAUGCUGAAUGCCACCCAUUAGGAAAAUGCCAAAUGUACUACUCCCCUCAACCCACUGCCUACUGCUUCUGGCUACUAAGUGUCUGCCUAAACAGAGCAAGAUGUGCGUGUGCCUGUGUGCCUGUAUGCUUGUGUCUCAUAGAGAGAGAGAGCGUCGCCACCUGACCUUCACGGGCUGGAAUGGCAGACCUGUUGGCCGGGCUCUCUCCCUCUCUCUCUCUCUCUCUCUCUAUAUCUAUCUAUCUAUUUCAGAAUUCAGAGUCACCGACUUCUCUCAAUCCCAAGACACCACCGGAAUAUCUGAUUGAAACACGGCCACUGUACAAUCUUUCUCUUGCACUCUGCCUCUUCACCUGAACAACCCAAAGUAGAGAAAUUAACAGUGUCAAAAAGCGAACACCGUGGGUGGCAACGAAAAAAGCAUCCAAACUUCUUAUGCAUGUUGGUGUCCAAUGUCCAUGUUUCAAAAACACACGAAGUGAGCAGAAAAUUGAAAUUUAUCCCAUCUCUUUUAGAGCGGAAUGGCUUUUAUUAUGUUGCAGAGGUCAACAUUUAAGACUUCUUGUGCUUUACUGGAUUGAAAAGGCGGAGAUUAAAGGGUGUCUACUAACCCGUGAUGCAGUUAUUUGUUAUUGGAAUUUGGACGCCAUCCAUGAUCCCUCCUUCAAUAAAGCUUCCGAUGAUUCUGCUCACUUUGCCCUUUUAUGCUUCAGUUAGCUUUCAAUUUUGGCUGAAGACAAACACAAAGAUGCGAGCAGAUGGUUUUGGUCGUGGAGGCCAGUUUGCAACGCAAAAAGUCAAAAUUGGUCGCCGUUGGUUGAUUCUGCCGGCGGUGGAGGUGGAGACCAGGUGAAAUGAGGAGAAUCGAUUGACCUCAGUACUGUAAUUUUGUCCUGUGAACAGUAGAGCAGAGGAUUAGGAAUCCGCGAGAGCAGGGUGUAUCACAAACCGUACAAUGAUUUGAGUUGAAGUCCUAGAUCUAAUCUAAUGGUUAAAGGCUAUAAUCCUCAAUCGAUUGGACUAAUUUACAGAAGAAUUGCUGUAGAUGGCGCAAAAGACACGAACGCAUAAUUGAAGCAUAGAAUAGAGAGGAAAAGAUUGAAGAGAAGCGUAAGUAUGACUGGUGGAGUCUGGACAUAUUUUGCUUUUGUUCCUUUCUAUGUCUGAAUGUGAAGCUGAAGAAAGAGGAGAGAUCCUCAGUCCUCUCUAGAUCUGCAUCUGCCUCGGCCAACCUCAAUGCUGUUGGGGCUCCACCUAAAAAGGGAAAAUGACGUGCCUUUUGUCUUUUCUGGACCACAACCACCGAUAAGAUAUGCGCCUGUUCUGUAGUACUAGAGCAGUUGUUGCUUGCCGAACGUGUGGCAUCUCUGCAUUUGAGCUUUUCUAAGGGCUAGUACCCUGGUAGGGUCAUUCAUUCUGCUCACUCCUGAGAGGUCCAGAUUCCAGACACAGAGAAAGAGGCGUUUCCUAUACGGGAUCGUCCAGAUAGGAAUAGGAGAUACUCAGAUACCACCCUUAUUUCUUUUUUUACUUCUGUGGUUGGACUUGGCCGGUUGGCCCCCACCAUAUAUAACAUGUCCAAUGAUCGAUAGUUGAAUGUAGUAAUUCCACAUCAGCUUAAAUACCAGUCACUGUAUUUGCCACGUGGCAUUUCACUAUAAGAAGAGAUUAUUGAAGGAGAUAAGGGUGGGGGGGAAUAAGAAACCAGAAAGGGAAAUGUGCUUUGGUUGGGACUGAAAGAUUCAAAUAGAAAGGGGAGCGAUAGUUGCUGUGCCUGUA